AGUGAACGCUGGCGGUAGGCCUAACACAUGCCAGUCGAACGGCAGCACAGUAAGAGCUUGCUCUUACGGGUGGCGAGUGGCGGACGGGUGAGGAAUACAUCGGAAUCUACUUUUUCGUGGGGGAUAACGUAGGGAAACUUACUCUAAUACCGCAUACGACCUACGGGUGAAAGCAGGGGAUCUUCGGACCUUGCGCGAUUGAAUGAGCCGAUGUCGGAUUAGCUAGUUGGCGGGGUAAAGGCCCACCAAGGCGGCGAUCCGUAGCUGGUCUGAGAGGAUGGUCGGCCACACUGGAGGUGAGACACGGUCCAGGGUCCUAAGAGAGGCAGCAGUGGGGUAUAUUAGACAAUGGGCGCAAGUAUGAUCCAGCCAUAGCGCGUGUGUGACGGAGGCCUUCGGGUUGUAAAGACGUUUUGUUGGGAGAGAAAAGCAGUAGGUUAAGACCCAGCGGUACUGACGGUACCCAAAGAAUAAGCACCGGCUAACUUCGUG
rnacentral:rRNA from 1 species